UGGGGAAUAUUGCACAAUGGGGGGAACCCUGAUGCAGCGACGCCGCGUGAGGGAAGAAGGUUUUUCGGAUUGUAAACCUCUGUCUUUGGUGACGAAAGAUGACGGUAGCCAAAGNGGAAGCUACGGCUAACUACGUGCC
rnacentral:rRNA from 1 species